CACACACACACACACACACACACACACACACACACACACACACACACACACACACACACACACACACACAGAGGAGAGGCACUUUGUGUUUACUGAACCUGAUCACGUCUGAAAAUACAGAACCGGACCGAGAGCAGCGGCAGGAAACGAGCGCCGUCUCUGAGCUGGUGAAGAUCCAAGAUGGCGGACGAGGGCCGGCGGGGCGACGGGGAGGCAGACGGCCGCGGCCCCGGAGCGACGUACCAGGUGUUCGUGCUGAUGGAGGUUUUACUGGAGAAGAUGAAGGUGUUGAACUAUGAGGAAGAAGUUCUGGACAAACACAACAUGAAGAACCUGAGCAGACAUUACUUCGUCUCCAGUCCGUACCUGGCGUCCAACCCCGGCGAGCAGUUCUACAUGUUCACCAUCGUGGCAGCGUGGCUCAUCAACGCGGCGGGCCGUCCGUUCGCCGAGCCGCGGGAGGACGACGAACCCAACGCCACCGUGUCCAACAUCCUGGCAGAGCUCCGAGCCUUCGGGGUGACGGUCGACUUCCCGCCCUCCAAACUCAAGUCGGGCUCCGGCGAGUUCGUCUGCCUGGUGCUGGACCGCCUGGCGGACGAGGCCCUGAGGAGGCGGGGCUUCUCCUUCAGAAGACCGACCUACCCGACGGAAACCACGGAGGAAGAGUCGGUGCUGCGGGACGACGCAGAGCUCACGCUCCAGACCAUCGAGGAACCCGACGAGGACGAGGAGAACGUGACGGAUCUGGAGGCUCUGAAGUUUCGGACGACUCACACCGAAGCGGAACCUUCCUCCAAACCAGACGAGAUCCUGGAGUCGACGGCGGACGCGGCGGCCUGGUACCUGGAGGUGGAGCGAGUCCUGCCUCAGCUCAAAGUCACCGUCCGGACGGACAACAAGGACUGGAGGAUCCACGUGGACCAGAUGCAUCGACACCGAGACGGAAUCGAGUCUUUGCUCAAAGAGGCCGAGAGCUCCUUGGACAAGCUGCAGUCGGACAUCGCCAAGACCCAGGAGAAGGUGAGCAGCAGAGAGAAGUACAUCAACAACCAGCUGGAACAGCCCAUCCAGGUUUACAUCGCCGCUCAGGCCAAACUCAGAGAGGCCACGGAGCGACACCAGCAGGCCUGCGCACGAGUGACGGAGAAGACCAGAGUCCUGGCCGAGAUGCGUUUCUGGACACGAGGCCGUGAGCGACUGUGACCUCGUCCGUGACCUCGUCCGUGACUCGUCCGCGACCUCGUCCGUGACUCGUCCGCGACCUCGUCCGCGACCUCGUCCGUGACCUCGUUCGUGACCUCGUCCGCGACCUCGUCCGUGACUCGUCCGCGACCUCGUCCGUGUUCUUGUGUUUCAGGUCAACGAGGAGCUGGAGAAGCUGAAGCAGGAGCUGGAGGAGAAAAGCAGCAGCAUAUCGGACGGAGCGCCGGUGGUGGAGAUCAAGCAGAGCGUGAUGAAGCUGAAGCAGGAGAACGUUCAGAUGGACGUGAGGACCGGCGUCCUCCAGCACCUGCUGCUGCAGGCCAGACUCUCGUCCAACAUGAGGCGCGACAUCACCAGCAUCCCAGAGGCCGCCGCCGC